AUGAAAGAGUGUAUAGGAAUCUUCACACUCCAGUUGUUAUAAUUGGAGGAAUAUUUUCCCUGAUUGCCUUAGUCAUCUCAUUCAUGCUGAUUUUCCAACAUCUUAGAUCAUACACUAAUCCUGAUGAGCAGAAGUGGAUAAUAGGCGUCCUGUUCAUGGUCCCUGUCUAUGCCAGUGAAUCUUUAUUCUCUUUAUGGAAAGCAAGAUUUUCAAUAAUAUGUGACAUAUUAAGGAACUGCUAUGAAGCAUUUGCUUUGUACGCUUUUGGAAGUUACUUGGUUGCCUGC